UUUUAGAACCAUUAAUGAAACAUCACAAUUGUUUGCACAUUAGAGAAGCAAGUCCUGGGAUUAAAGUGCACAAAUCUUCCAAAUGUUUGUAAUCUGCAAUAUAUAUGGAACUACGAUACCUAAAGUCUCAAAAUAUCUUUAUCUGCAAUGGAUAUCUUGGGUGAAAAGACUGAGUUUAAAGAUUCAUAAUUAUAUUAUGCUAAAAUAAAUGAUAUAACAAGGAACAUUAGUGUUACCCAGCUAGCACACACACGUUGUUAAAACAUUAGAACAAU